GACCAUAGGGGGGCGACUAGCUAGGCUAGGGUUUUUUCUUUUUUUUUUCUGAUAAGUAUUGGGCUAGGGUUAGGCUGAAAUUGGGUUUGGGUUUGAUUUGUUUGGGUUAAUGGUUUUUGGUUUUGGGUAGGUAGUUAGGUUGAUUUUAUUUUAUUGGGCCCGGGCAGAAUUUGGGCUGUACGUUUAUAAUUAUCUUUAAUGUUUUUCGCGUAUUUAGUUUCAAUAAAAUAUUUAAUAUGGCAUUUGCAUGUAAAACAAAUUUGAGAAAAA
rnacentral:lncRNA from 1 species